rnacentral:ncRNA from 1 species
AACCAAAAGGGGUGCUGGGGAAGCCCGGCUGAGAUUGAUACCGUAUUCGUAUCGGACCCGUUGACCUGAUCUGGAUAAUGCCAGCGUAGGAAAUAUA